ACUGCUCAGUAACACGUGGACAAUCUGGCCUGAAGUGGAGAAUAAUCCCGGGAAACUGGGGGUAAUACUCCAUAGUUCGUGAGUACUGGAAUGUCUUUCGAACGAAAGAUCCGUCGCUUCAGGAUGAGUCUGCGGCUGAUUAGGUAGUUGUUGUGGUAACGGCCCAACAAGCCUAUGAUCGGUACGGGUUGUGGGAGCAAGAGCCCGGAGAUGGAUUCUGAGACACGAAUCCAGGCUCUACGGGGCGCAGCAGGCGCGAAAACUUUACCAUGCGGGCAACCGUGAUAAGGAAACCCCGAGUGCCAGCAUAGGCUGGCUGUCCGCCAGUUUAAAAAACUGGUGAAGAAAGGGCCGGGCAAGACCGGUGCCAGCCGCCGCGGUAAUACCGGCGGCUCGAGUGGUGGCCACUAUUACUGGGCUUAAAGGGUCCGUAGCUUGAUAUGCAAGUCUUUUGAGAAAUCCGCCAGCUUAACUGGCGGGCGUUCAGGGGAAACUUGUUUUCUAGGGACCGGGAGAGGUGAGGGGUACUGCCGGGGUAGGAGUGAAAUCCUGUAAUCCCGGUGGGACCACCUAUGGCGAAGGCAUCUCACCAGAACGGGUCCGACAGUGAGGGACGAAAGCUGGGGGAGCAAACCGGAUUAGAUACCCGGGUAGUCCCAGCUGUAAACUAUGUGCGUUAGGUGUGUCAGUGACCACGUGUCACUGAGGUGCCGAAGGGAAACCGUGAAACGCACCGCCUGGGGAGUACGGUCGCAAGGCUGAAACUUAAAGGAAUUGGCGGGGGAGCAC
rnacentral:rRNA from 1 species